AGGACCUGUAGCCAUGUAGCCAAUUUCCUGCUAGUUGGCUUUCACACUCACACACACGGCACGGUUUUUAUUAGUGUCCCACGCAAAGCAGGCCUCCCAGUGGAAACCUGAGAUAUUUUUCGGCUUUUUUGAAACACAUUUUGAAAAUUUAUUUAGAAUUAUAUAUGGUCAGCUAGGGGGCCUGUAUUUUGUGUGUAUUGUGCUCACAUUGAUGGGUGAUUGGUAUAUUUGCCUGCUUUAAUAAUAUCUUAUAUUAAUAAUUAUAACUUUUAGACCAAUAUUAAUUCAUAUUCUAACACAGCAUGGUUUUAAAAUACUCAUGUAUACUCACUAUUUUCCAAACCUGCCAAAAGCUAGCCAGUGUAUAUUUUUGAAUUGUUAAGCUCCUGUCCAGUGAUUUGCGUUUAAAAAUAAAACUGCAUUGAAAUCAACACAUUUAUAAUGUUUUGGUAAUUUCUUUGGGUUCAUUUUCUUUUUAACUGGUGAUGGCUCCUUGGUAAAUCUGUGUGUAGUUCUUACAUUAAUUAUCAUGUUGUAUAUUAGUAUUCAUUUAUUAUUAAUGAUAUUCAAUGUAAUGCGUUUAAUAGUAAUAGUAUAUAAUGACAUUUUAACUGAAUGUUUUCUAACUUAAUAAGUAUACAUUUUUUUUACUAAGAAACAGUAAACAGAAAUAGGAUUGAAAUUUAUAAUCAUAACAAUUUUCAAAUUACCAUGUUUGAAAUAAAAUACUUAACAGACAUUGGCUUACUUUUUUCCCGAAUAUUAGACUUUCUAACAGUAUUUCUACCCUUUUUGUGCUUGUUAAUCACUAAAGGGAAAUAACCCAAGAAUGCACUUUUUCACCCCCUUGCACGCAUUCAGAAUAUUACGUAACUUACAUGUAACUUACUAACAUAGAUUGGACUUAACUCAUGGAUUUGUAUUACCUUUGUAUUUCAGGAGGAAGGUGUAGUGUGUCAUAUUUCUUUGUAAUUUUUGCUAGUUAUCUAGCAAUAUUUAAAAACAGCACUUAUUACUACUAGUUUUAUUUAUUUAGUUUAACAUAAUUAUAUUUUUCUAUUUAAUAUGUUAUGGUAAUUACUAAUUACUUACAUUACAAUGUUUAAAUACACUCUGUAUCAUUACCGGUAAUAUGUUUAUUGUGUAUUGCUUACAUCUAACCGUUUGAUAAUUAUGGAUUUCUACAAAUUGUACUAUUUUAUAUACAAUGAUUUUCACUUGCACAGUUUCUUUAUGUGGGCAUUGUUAUAAAGUCUCAUAUAUUGUAAAGACCCAUUUGAUGUAAAGUUCUAUUUACUUUGUCUCAUAUAUUGUAAAGACCCAUUUGAUGUAAAGUUCUAUUUACUUUGUCUCAUAUAUUGUAAAGACCCAUUUGAUGUAAAGUUCUAUUUACUAUGUCUCAUAUAUUGUAAAGACCCAUUUGAUGUAAAGUUCUAUUUACUAUGUCUCAUAUAAUGUAAGGACACAUUUGCGCGUAAAGUGGCAUAAUGCUGUAAAGACCCAUUUGCAUUAAUUUCUAGCUGCUAUGAAGUCCCAUUUAAUGUACAGAUUUGUUUGCUGCAAAGUUCAAUUUGCAGUAACAUUCUCUCUGCUGUAAAUUCCCAUUUAUUGUAAAGAUUUGUUUGCUGCAAAGUCCAAUUUGCAGUAACAUUCUUUCUGCUGUAAAGUCCCAUUUAAUGUAAAGACUCGUUUGUUGCAAUGUAACAUCUGUAAAGACUCAUCUGUUGUCAUCUGUUUAGUCCCAUCUCAUACAAAGGUCCCAUUUACUGUUAAGUCUCGUCUCAUAAAAAGGUCCCAUUUACUGUUAAGUCUCGUCUCAUAAAAAGGUCCCAUUUACUGUUAAGUCUCGUCUCAUAAAAAGGUCCCAUUUACUGUUAGGUCUCGUCUCAUAAAAAGGUCCCAUGUACUGUUAAGUCUCGUCUCAUAAAAAGGUCCCAUGUAUUGUUGAGUCCCAUCUCAUAAAAAGGUCCCAUUUACUGUUAAGUCUCGUCUCAUAAAAAGGUCCCAUUUACUGUUAAGUCUCGUCUCAUAAAAAGGUCCCAUUUACUGUUAAGUCUCGUCUCAUAAAAAGGUCCCAUUUACUGUUAAGUCUCGUCUCAUAAAAAGGUCCCAUUUACUGUUAAGUCUCGUCUCAUAAAAAGGUCCCAUUUACUGUUAAGUCUCGUCUCAUAAAAAGGUCCCAUUUACUGUUAGGUCUCGUCUCAUAAAAAGGUCCCAUGUACUGUUAAGUCUCGUCUCAUAAAAAGGUCCCAUGUAUUGUUGAGUCCCAUCUCAUAAAAAGGUCCCAUUUACUGUUAAGUCUCGUCUCAUAAAAAGGUCCCAUUAACUGUUAAGUCCCAUCUCAUAUAAAGGUCCCAUUUACUGUUAAGUCUCGUCUCAUAAAAAGGUCCCAUGUACUGUUUAGUCUCGUCUCAUAAAAAGGUCCCAUGUACUGUUAAGUCCCGUCUCAUAAAAAUUCCUAUGUACUGUUAAGUCCUAUCUAUAAAAAGGUCCCAUUCACUGUUCAGUCCCAUCUCAUAAAAAGUCCCAUUUACUGUUCAGUCCCAUAUCAUAAACAGUCCCAUUUACUGUCAAGUCCCAUCUCAUAAAAAUGUGGCAUUUACUGUUCAGUCCUGUCUCAUGUUAAGUCCCAUUUGCUGUAAAGACCCAUGUGCCUUCUGGUUCCCUGGUUGGUUUAAUCCUUGUGUGUGUUUCUGG